rnacentral:rRNA from 1 species
GAUGAACGCUGGCGGCGUGCCUAAUACAUGCAAGUCGAGCGAACAGACGAGGAGCUUGCUCCUCUGACGUUAGCGGCGGACGGGUGAGUAACACGUGGAUAACCUACCUAUAAGACUGGGAUAACUUCGGGAAACCGGAGCUAAUACCGGAUAAUAUAUUGAACCGCAUGGUUCAAUAGUGAAAGACGGUUUUGCUGUCACUUAUAGAUGGAUCCGCGCCGCAUUAGCUAGUUGGUAAGGUAACGGCUUACCAAGGCAACGAUGCGUAGCCGACCUGAGAGGGUGAUCGGCCACACUGGAACUGAGACACGGUACAGACGCCUACGGGAGGCAGCAGUAGGGAAUCUUCCGCAAUGGGCGAAAGCCUGACGGAGAAACGCCGCGUGAGUGAUGAAGGUCGUCGGAUCGUAAAACUCUGUUAUUAGGGAAGAACAAAUGUGUAAGUAACUAUGCACGUCUUGAAGGUACCUAAGCAGAAAGCCACGGCUAACUAAGUG